AAUAACUCUAUGCUACAGCGUAUAUGCUUGCGAAUAAGGCGCGAGUGUCUCUACCCGACUACCGUAAAUAGUUGGACUACGAUGGAAGGUUUUU
rnacentral:ncRNA from 1 species